AACGAACGCUGGCGGCAUGCCUAACACAUGCAAGUCGAACGAGACCUUCGGGUCUAGUGGCGCACGGGUGCGUAACGCGUGGGAAUCUACCCUUGGGUUCGGAAUAACUCAGAGAAAUUUGAGCUAAUACCGGAUGAUGUCGCAAGACCAAAGAUUUAUCGCCCAAGGAUGAGCCCGCGUAGGAUUAGCUUGUUGGUGAGGUAAAAGCUCACCAAGGCGACGAUCCUUAGCUGGUCUGAGAGGAUGAUCAGCCACACUGGGACUGAGACACGGCCCAGACUCCUACGGGAGGCAGCAGUGGGGAAUAUUGGACAAUGGCGAAAGCCUGAUCCAGCAAUGCCGCGUGAGUGAUGAAGGCCUUAGGGUUGUAAGGCUCUUUUACCCGGGAUGAUAAUGACAGUACCGGGAGAAUAAGCCCCGGCUAACUCCGUGCCAGCAGCCGCGGUAAU
rnacentral:rRNA from 1 species